GCAAACUUGGUCAUUUAGAGGAAGUAAAAGUCGUAACAAGGUAACCGUAGGUGAACCUGCGGUUGGAUCAUUAAAAAUUGAUUUAGUCUCUGAGUUUUUUCAUAAACUCAUGAUGGCUAUUAACACCUGUGCACAUUAAUGUAUCUUGGGUUGUGGUUUUAUAUAGUCUAGUCUACUCUAGUCGUAUAGAGUCUAUUCUAGUCGUGUAAGAGCCAAUCCAAAACUUUUUUAAAACCCCUAUUGAUUAUGUCUGAAAAUUUUAUAUUAAAUAUAAACAACUUUUGACAACGGAUCUCUAGGCUCUCGCAUCGAUGAAGAACGCAGC
rnacentral:misc_RNA from 1 species